GGUGAGGGAUGUUGUGUUGGUGUUGCGUUAAGUCUUGCACGUUUCGUUUUACAGAACUGUGUCCUAAAUUUGUAUAAAAAGCUUGCACGUAUAACAAUUAAUAAGGAGGUUAAUGAAUUAUAUUCGAGCUAAAAUGUCGUUCGCGAUAUCAUUAAAACGAUUUUUUCAUGAUUCGAGUAACAUGUGAGGGAAAGAAUUUCGUCGUGUCGAAGUUGACGUGAAAUCAUAAAAUCUCGUGUAAGCGGCGGCAUACGUGCGAUUUGUGUGGUGUUGUGUAUUUUAUAAUAUUCUCACACAAAAGUGUUUAUUCGUUACCACUUGUUGCGCGCCUAAAGCACGCUUCUUUGUGUUACGUUGGAUUAACCGGAUUACGUGUAUCGCCGGGAUGUUCUUUUCGCCGAGAUAAAUCAUCGAGUACGCAACGAAAAGGUGCAGCUGUGCGAGCCGCAGGCGGAGGAUUCGGAGAACGGGAGAAUCUAGUGAGGACGCUGGGCGUAGCGGCGACGAAAUGAAGCAUGCAGCAUGCGUGGUAGCGGUGUCACGGCUGCGCGGUCCUGCCUUCAACCCCUGGUGUCCGCCAGCCGCUAUCUCGCCGUUCAAGCCCUUCCUGGUGAUCCUCUUUACUUCGUCGUUGAGGCGAAGUCGAGAGUAAAGGAGGUAUACGCACAGACAUGCAUGCUUCUUGGCCAGCAGGGCAUGCGAGACUGCGAACUGUUCGGCCUGGCAAUACUGUCCGACGGCGAGUACCUGUUCGUCGAUCCCGAGAAUAAAUUAAGCAAAUACGCACCGAAGAACUGGCGAAGUUCUCAUACAUACGGCUUAGACAGCAGCGGAAGGCCAGCUUUCGUCCUCUAUUUUCGUGUUCGUUAUUACAUCGAUACUCCAUUGCUGUUAAGCGAUGAAACGACCCGUCACCACUAUUACCUGCAAUUGCGGGACAACGUGGUCAGGCAUGGGGGUGGGGUUGAGAGCCUGCAUCCUCACCAUCCCUUACACGAACCAUCUAUCGUUACACCGUUGCUCACACUCGCCGGUCUUGCCUUACAAGCCGAUCUUGGCGACUACUCCGAAGAACGGCACAGACCACACGCGGGAGCUGUGGGAUACUGUAAACCCACCGAUUACCUUCCACCUCACAUGUGCUUGGAGUCAAAUGUGCUCGGCGUGCUGGCGGCUCAGCAUAGGGACAACCGGGGUCUGUCAAGGGAGGAGGCAGAAUUGCAAUACAUCCGGGAGGCGGUGCUGCUGGAGGCGCCGCUCAACGCUCACCUUUAUCGCUUGCGAAGAAGCAAGAACGAGGCUGGUCCAGGACGUAUACUACUCGCGAUAUGUGCUCGCGGUGUGCGAGUUUACGCCGAGGAAGAGACACCGCGUGUGUUUGCCUGGAACAACAUUGGCAAACUUUGCUUCGACCGCAAGAAGUUCGAAAUACGCGCAGUCGAUCAGCCGGACAAGCUCACUCUCUACAGCGGAUGCGAUGACAAGAGCAAACUUCUUCUGGGCCUCUGUCGAGACACCCAUCAGUUCUCCAUGGCCAUAGCACCUAGAGUAAACGAGGCGAAGAGGCGAGAGGAGGAAGAGAGAAAGGUUCUUCGCGACUGCUACAUGUAUCCUGCACGAUGCAAGCUGAGCUUAACAGCACGAGGCGCACGCGGGGAUCAACGAAUUUCUGUUAUCUCCAGCACCUCGUCCAAUACAACUUCUGGAAUUGUCAGCGACCGGGUUCAUAGCGAGGACGAACCAGACACGGCGCCAGCCUCGACCGAGUGUCUUCCGCGUCUUACAGAAAAUUCUUCUUCGCACCCCGGUGGCGGUGGCGGUGGCUGCCUGGUGAACGGCUCGAAUGCAGAUAUCGAGGAUCGUUCGAUGCCAUCCUCGCCAGCCUCUACCGUGGAUGAAGUCGACGGUACGGACAACACUCCUACGACGGCUGCACUGCGAUUAGCUUCGAGUGCAGCAACGGGGGCCGAGGGAUCGCAAUGCAGUAGCAGCUGUAGCACGGUGGUGGUUGUGAAUGCACCUGCUGGUGGACCGCCGCGAAUGCGUCGCACCUCGGCAACAUCCAGUCUCGAGCUCGGUUACUCCCAUACGGCACAGAAUUCAGCGGUUUCUUCAGAAACCGCUAGCUUUCCUGGUGCCAUUUACGACAGGUGCAAAAAAGCUGGCAAAUACGCGGGUACCGACAUCGCGAGCGAGACCAGUGGAGUGUACACGUUAAGGAGCAGCGAGAUGCAGGACGAGAGAAUUGGAGACUUGUAUUCGCCUAGCGGAGACGCAAACGAAUCGUCGGCAGCGAGUGACAUGUGUGCCUUGAGUUCCGUCCAGUCGACUACCGAUGAAGCUUCGGUGACAUCCGGUUUCUACACCAUCCACAGUGGGCUUAGAUCGGAGACGAGCGACGUCUACACGGAAGACGUUGGUACGGAAGAUCAAGAACCGAUUUACAGCGUCUGCAAAGGUGACGACGACGUCGCUAACGACAUAGUGGUUUCCGCUAUGUCUGCGGUAUCUCUGGAUCAACAAUUGGAAGAUUCUAGAUCGCGAAGCAACAGCAUACUCAGUGCUGGAAGUUUCAGAGGCGACGGUAGCGAUCCUUCCAGCGUAGGACCUUUAUUGUCAGCCGACGAGCUAUCGGACUUGAUCGUUGGACGUUAUCCUCCCCGAAAAACCAUCAGCAACUCCAUGGAUUCCGAUUGCGAUUACGUUACUAUGCCUCCGCCACCUCCUCCGCCGAGGACGGACAGCGACAGGCAACUUCCUCCACCUCCUCCGUAUCCGGUCAGCAUGGAUUACGCUACGAUAAACUCGUCGCGAGCAAAGAUACCGGAUAUCGAGAGAGAACCUCCGCCUCCGCCGCCGUACAACGCGACUCGUGGCGAAUUCGUCCCUUUACCACCGAGAAGAACCGAUCCACCACCGCCACCGCCGCCUUACACUUCGCCCAGAGAAAGAAUCCAAAUACCACCACCUACGCCGCCGAGAAACGACGCUGUCCAACCCAGAGAACCGCCACCACCACCACCCCCGUAUCCAGAAGUCUCGGACGUUACUCGACAGGAAGCCAUUUCGAAAUUGUACCCGACCAGCAGCACCGAAGAGAUCGUGUCGAGAGUUACUACUGUAACGUCGAGCAAGUUUCAAAGUAAUCUGACGAACAACAAAUCCAACAACGGCAAUAUAACGCCGCUGAAUUCAAAGACCACCAGCGGCAUCGCCGCUAAUCAUACGAGCAACGACGACGUUGCCUCGAUCGCCCCGAAACCACCGCCCAGAAUUCAACCCCCUACUUAUCCCGGUGACAAAAUGAAACCUACGCCAGUUCACGCUCCCGUUGCCGCUCUUGUCGUUGGACCGAAUAAUUAUUUGGACGUCCACGCUUCGCGAGGUGGUCCGGUUUUGUUGCCUUACUUGACACCACCGCCUCCUCCGCCACCCCCUCCGCCACCCAUGAUUCACCCCAGACAACCUCCACCGCCGCCGCCCAGCUUGGCUACCGUAUACACCAGUCAAGUUGCGAGGUCGCAAAUCGAACAGUAUAAACAGCAACUCUAUUCCGACGUCGAUUACGUCAUGUUCCCUCUGAAGGAUCCUGCCGUGUCGAAGCAAGAGUACAUCGAUGCCAAACAAGGAUCUCUUCUGGCAGCAAUGGCUGCUUAUCCACCUCCCCCUUAUCCAUCGUUCAACAAUAAAUCGUUAGUGAUGUAUCGUAGCACACCGUACCUUCCCGGUUCCUCCUUCUCGUCACCCUCUAAAUACGCUUCGAAUCAAAACCUUAGCAGCAGCGAUACCAGCUCUAACAAUUAUUUACCGCAUAGUAAUCUGAGCAGCCACUAUGCCGCCAGUACCAGUUCCCUGUACAGUGGAGCUACUUGUUCGUCGGCAGGAAGUCAGAGUCUUAGACGCGAACCACCAGCCCCGACUCAUCCUCAUACGCUCCACGCAUUUUCCAGGACCAGAAGCGACGAGAAUAUCUUGAAAUGUUUCGACUCUCCUUCCAGCAUCAAGUUGCAGUCGUUGCCGCAACUCAAGCAUCGUAGGCUACCACCACCUCCUCCGCCUCCUCCUUACGAAAUACAGAAUCUUGAGAAGAAUCAACCGCUUCCGUCUGCCUCGUCGUCAUCCUCUUCGCCGAAUAAAACGUCGAAAACGAUGGGAACGGAGGAACGCGAACGCGAGGAAGGAAAAGAGAAUGGAAUGUUGGAUAUUCGAACGCUUCGUGAGAAAAGUCGCAACUUGGACUUACCAUUGAUAUCGGCGUUAUGCAAUGAUCGGUAUUUAUUGAAACAAACGAAAGCGUUCGUUAUGCCAAAGCAUCCCCCCAAUGAGACGACAUCUUCUUCGACGUCCGCGAAGAAUGGUACGAGAACCAGCAAUAUUGGAACUUCCAGCAGAAACAAAUAUCCAGUCAGCGGUCUGUCGACCACUCAGAUCGCUAAACCUCCUCGAAAAUCUUCGACGAGUACUCACAAACACCCGGCAGAGGUGAAGGGCAACGCUUACAAAGUGUCGAAUUCGACAGCCGUGUCUUCGGUGAAAAAGGAUCCGACCAGAGCGUCCCAUUCGUAAGGUGAAAUUGAAAAAAGAGCGAAGGGGACCUUUGCCGAUCUUGCAACGUUACGAACAAUUUUAUACCUCGAUAAAGGUACACAUUCCACGAUGUGCCGUUGAAGAUUACGAUUUUACGAUAACUUUUUUGAUAACGGCUAAACAAAGAUCCUGACGUUAGGUAUACUUAAAACAGACAAGUUUCACAGACCGUGCUUCUUCAACUCAGGGUGCCAUUUUUAUAUCGUUUACAAUUUUUCUACUUGUCGCUAAUACUGUCGAGAUACGAAAUCAUUGAAUCUAGGAAAACCUUCGAGAAGCUAAAGAUGAUCCCUUUCUUAUUCGAUUCAAUUUUCUUUUUAAUGAUCUCUUUAAUAAGAAGUUGAAAAUUUCACUUUUUCCUCUAUUCGAACGAACAAAAGCUUUUCGUACGUAGAAUAAUAUAGAAACAUACACGUACACACAGACAGACAGACACACACGCACACACAUUUACAAUAAGACAAUAAAGUGUCCAUUAACGUUACAUUUUGCUCAAGUAAAGCGGUUAGCGCGAUCAAAGGGAACAUUAAACGCGAUUGUUGUAAAAUCCUAAUGACGAAAGCGUAAAAGACGCUCUUGUACAUAUAAUAGUUAUCUGACAAGAGCAACGAUUUUUCUUAGGUACUAAUUACUCGGAUAUUUUUAUACUCUGAACGAAGACAGGUAUGAUUAAUGUAACUAGAGAAAUAGUACCUUCAUAUUUUUUUUUUUUUUUUUUUUUUUUUUUUUUAUACAUGUGUCUACGAAAGUAAUAUUUAUUACCAUCCAGAUGAUUCUUGUCUUUAUUAUUACUAUUAUAUUUUUUUAAAUAACUCAAUCAACGCUCGCUUUAUGAUACUUUCUAUCGAAGCGGUUUUUUUGUUUUAUAAUAAUACAUCUGCGUGUACGUAACUGUAAGUGUAGUUUCUUUUUUUUAUUUCGUUUUCUUUAUUUAAGAGAAUUAAAGCGCUUAAGCAGGCUAGAUGAGAAAAAUUGGUUAUUCAUUGGCAAGAAGAAGGAAAAGCAGCCGGUACGAGGUACAAUAGACGAAUUCUCCUUUUAACUACACUACAGAACACGUACUUUACUGAACGGUAAUGAACGCGAAACAAUUGAUAUUUUGACUACUAUGAUACUACGCAAGAGUCUCGUGUUUGCGUCGAUCUUUCGUACACAUUAAUCAUUAGAUCGUAGACGUGUAAGGGGUAACAAUUUGUAGACGUAACGUUGACUUAUGUUAAUUAAUGGUAGAUAUUAAUAUUACAACACGAACCAUGUCUGUACAUAGUAUUUGCGUGAAAUUAUAGGACUUGUUGUAGUCGAAAACCUCAUAAAACGGGGCAAAAUAAUGUAUGACACAGGAUAGAUUUAUUUUUGAAUCAACGCGCCACUACAGACGCCAUCUUGAAAGUAACUAGAGAAGUUACUCUAGGAAGAAUCCAAAGAAAAUCUCUGCGUAUAGAGGGAUCCCUGAGGAAAGCUAGGGAUAAUAUCCAAAAUUGCAAUCUGCCGUUUCUCGUAUACAAAAUAAAUGGCUAAACAGAAGUAGCAGUGGGGCAUUCCUUCCCCUCUGCUUCUUCUGAACCAAAGAAAGCCUAAAUUGCGGACGAGUGAGUAAGUAGAACAGUGUAUGUAGUACUUUUAGUUGGGGAAUCGAAUUCAUAGAGGGCUGUAAUAGUUCAGCUCCGCAGUCCUAGUUCGCAAACAUUAUACGUCACGUGGUGAAGAACGAAAUCGGAGAAUAUUUCAAACGACAACAAUAAAGUCAACGUAUUACCUUAACCAAUUCUGUACGCCGGCCAAGGGCGCGUAACGUGCUACCGUAUACAUACACAUAUCGAAUAAACGGUUAUUCCUUUUAAUUAUUGUUCAGUUGGCAAAACGUUAUUAGACAGUGAUUACGCGGAAAAACUUGGAUGCCGCGAAGUGUUUCGAAAGGACCCUACUACGUUAUUCAUCCAAGCCUUUGUAUCAACAGCGGAAAGCAAUUUUAAAACGGGGCAAAGUAAUGUAUGACACGGGAUAGAUUUAUUUUUGAAUCAACGCGCCACUACAGACGCCAUCUUGAGAGUAACUAGAGAAGUUACUCUAGGAAGAAACCAAAGAAAAUCUCUGCGUAUAGAGGGAUCCCUGAGGAAACCUAGGGAUAAUAUCUAAAAUUGCAACCUGCCGUUUCUCGUAUACAAAAUAAAUGGCUAAACAGAAGUAGUAGUGGGGCAUUCCUUCCCCGCCGCUUCUUCUGAACCAAAGGAAGCCUAAAUUGCGGACGAGUGAUUGGCAAAACGUUAUUAGACAGUGUGAUUACGCGGAAAAACUUGGAUGCCGCGAAGUGUUUCGAAACGACCCUACUACGUUAUUCAUCCAAGACUUUGUAUCAACGGCAGAAAGCAAUUUUGGAUUAUUACCGAUAUACCUGAACCCGAUAGCAGCACAUGUAACAGAGGACCUGUAUACCACCAUAACCAGAUCAGAUCAGAGCUCGUAAUAAAGAAACGUAUCUGAAGCAAGUUUUCAUAAUCUGUUGCGACAAACAAUAUUCGAU